rnacentral:misc_RNA from 1 species
UCCGGUUUGUCACCGGCGGUCUCCCUAGAGUUCCCAACUUAAUGAUGGCAACUAGGGACAAGGGUUGUGCUCGUUGCGGGACUUAACCCAACAUCUCACGACACGAGCUGACGACAGCCAUGCAGCACCUGUCUCUCGGCUCCCGAAGGCACCCCCGCAUCGCUGCAGGGUUCCGAGGAUGUCAAGGGUAGGUAAGGUUUUUCGCGUUGCAUCGAAUUAAUCCACAUCAUCCACCGCUUGUGCGGGUCCCCGUCAAUUCCUUUGAGUUUUAAUCUUGCGGUCGUACUUCCCAGGUGGAUUACUUAAUGCUUUCGCUCAGACACACACAGUGUAUCGCGUAUGUCGAGUAAUCAUCGUUUAGGGCGUGGACUAC